rnacentral:lncRNA from 1 species
AUGUCUGAGGAGGCUCAAUCUAACCUGCAGAGCGCUCAGCCAUUAGCUCCCAGCAACACUCAAGAUGAGCUUGAUGGCUCUCUGCCAAUUACCUACCGCCCCCAAUUCAGCACCCUAUUACACCCUCUACCCAUUGUCCAGAGCCAACCAGUGAGUACCCAAAAGUCUCCACUGGCCCCCAGCAAUCACCAGAUCAGUGUCCAAACGCUUCCACCAGCUGUCAGCACUCAGCCCAUCCAUCUCCAAGACCCUUCAUCAACUGUCCACAGCUACCAGCCCAGAAUCGAAGAAUCUCCAACUGUCCACAGUCCCCGGGUCAGUAUCCAAGAGCCUCCACCAGAUAUCCACAGUAGCCAGGUCAGCAUUGAAGAACCUUCACCUACUACCCAUGGUCGCAGGGUCAGUAUCCAAGAGCCUCCACCUGCUACCCUCGGUAACCAGGUCAGCAUCCACGAGCCUCCACCUGCUACCCAUGGUCGCAGGGUCAGUAUCGAAGAGCCUCUAUCUACUACCCAUAGUCGCCGGGUCAGUAUCCGAGAGCCUCUACCUACUACCCAUGGUCGCAGGGUCAGUAUCCAAGGGCAUCCACCAACUGCUCACAGUCACCGGCUCAGUGUCCAAAGGCCUCCACCAACUGUCCUUAGUCAUCAGCUCAGUAUCCAAGAAUCUCCACCUGAUAUCCACAGUUGCCGGCUCACUGUCCAAGAGCUUCUACCAACUACCCACAGUCACCAGCCCAAUAUCCAAGAAUCUCCACUAACUGACCACAGUCACAAGCUCAGUCUCCAAGAAUCUCCUCCCCUGAACAAUACUCAUUCAGUUUGCCACAUCAGCCAAUCCAAUAUCUGCCUGACAUCGACUCAGACUCCCAGCUUCACAAACAAACAAACCCGGCCCAGUGUCCAUGUCCCCCCAUCCAUUACCCAGAGCCCCACAGCCAGUAUUGACAGCAUUGAAUCAGUUAACUGGAACUCCCAGGCGAUUCCCAAAGAAAGUGAGCUCAGCUCCCAACUCAACCAGACCAGUCCUGAUGAUGCACUCAACUUCUUGUCAGGCAGCACCACGGGCAUCGAUUCUGGCAUCGAUUCUCACAGGUUUCAGAAAAGCCGUAGCCGUCAGGUACGGCUGCCCAUAUGCUGGCGCCUGCUGCAUGAGGCCCGGAAGAUCAGCCGCCAGCUGAGCCUGGUCCUGAACCUGGCCGGCCUGGUAAUCAUCGGUCUCAUCUCUCUGGGCCAGCCCUGGAUGCACUUCCAGGUCCCACUGACGCCCCCUGGGCACCCUGCUGGCUCUCCGACCGUGCCCAUCAACACCAUCCUCUUUGUGGCGUGUUCUGACAUCUCCUGCCUGAAGGAGUAUGACCAGUAUGCUUACUUGCUGGACCUUGCCUGGGCCUUCUUCUUCAUCUCCAGCAUCACCAGCUUCUGCCUCUGUGUGGCCCUAGGACUCCUCAUCUUCUUCUCCAGUUCCAAACUGCCCUGGCUGGACUUCUUCCUCUUUAUCGGCAGCAUCGUUACAGGGACUAGCAUCGCACUGGGUGUCCUGUUCUACCUGUGGCAGGCUGACAGGUACCUGCAAGAAGGCAUGACCUACAGGCUCGGGAUCAGCUUCUACCUGGCAUGGAUCGGCAUCUUCCUGUUCCUGAUGACUGGCUUCUUCUCCUAUCUGAAUUACAUGAAUUUCUGGUCUAUCCUGGCACUCCAGGCUGUCUGGACUUAGGACGCAGGAAUGGUCUCACCAGUGACCUACAGGCAUGGCUCCUCGUCAAGCACCCACUCCAGAGCCAUCCCCUCCAAGAGUCUUGUACUUUUUCAGCCCCCUUGAUACCCCUCAUUCCAGAUAAUAAAUGAUUUUUUAAAUAAUCUGUAUUUUCUGCCUAGAAUAUUCCUUUAUUUAGCUUUG